rnacentral:misc_RNA from 1 species
AUGGAAUAGUUUUGAACUCAAAAUGAAAAGAUUGAAGACAAAUUAUACUAGCCAUGGAGUUAAGAGUGAGAUCUGCUUUUGGUUUCCAAGGAAGAGAAAAAUGAUACAGAAGAUAUCAACAAUGGCAUAAUCUAAUUUAUAAGUUGGUAACAAAAAUCUCAAUGCUAAUCACUCCAAAACACUUGCAACCAUAUUCUGAUUAGCAGGAGUCACUAGUCAACCCUAGCUCCUGGGUUUGCUCGAUUUUUCACCUAAAAGUCUUAACACCACCAACAUGACAAUUCGAUAACUCAACUUUUCUUUAAAUUAUAAAUGUGAAUAUAAUAUCAACUUUGGUUUAGGAUGAAUUCAAAUGUGGAAUAUGCAUUCCGCACAUUAGAAAAGAAAAAAAAUUUCAUGGUGCAAACAAGGAUAUCUAGUUGCUAAU